rnacentral:rRNA from 1 species
GAAGUUAUCUGAUCCUCUUUUAGAGGUGACGAUAAUGGAAUGAGCGGCGGACGGGUGAGUAACACGUAGGCAACCUGCCUGUAAGACUGGGAUAACUCGUGGAAACGCGAGCUAAUACCGGAUAACACUUUUCAUCUCCUGAUGAGAAGUUGAAAGGCGGCUUUUGCUGUCACUUACAGAUGGGCCUGCGGCGCAUUAGCUAGUUGGUAAGGUAAUGGCUUACCAAGGCGACGAUGCGUAGCCGACCUGAGAGGGUGAUCGGCCACACUGGGACUGAGACACGGCCCAGACUCCUACGGGAGGCAGCAGUAGGGAAUCUUCCGCAAUGGACGAAAGUCUGACGGAGCAACGCCGCGUGAGUGAUGAAGGUUUUCGGAUCGUAAAACUCUGUUGUUAGGGAAGAACAAGUGCCAUAGUAACUGAUGGCACCUUGACGGUACCUAACCAGAAAGCCACGGCUAACUACGUGCCAGCAGCCGCGGUAAUACGUAGGUGGCAAGCGUUGUCCGGAAUUAUUGGGCGUAAAGCGCUCGCAGGCGGUUCUUUAAGUCUGAUGUGAAAUCUUACGGCUCAACCGUAAACGUGCAUUGGAAACUGGGGAACUUGAGUGCAGAAGAGGAGAGUGGAAUUCCACGUGUAGCGGUGAAAUGCGUAGAGAUGUGGAGGAACACCAGUGGCGAAGGCGACUCUCUGGUCUGUAACUGACGCUGAGGAGCGAAAGCGUGGGGAGCGAACAGGAUUAGAUACCCUGGUAGUCCACG